UCCCGGUUGAUCCUGCCAGAUCCGACUGCUAUCCGGGUAAGACUAAGCCAUGCAAGUUGAAUGGAAUGGCUACAUUCCAUAGCAUACUGCUCAGUAACAAGUGAUCAACUUACCCUUUAGUGGAGCAUAACCUCGGGAAACUGAGGCUAAUUCUCCAUAGUUGGACCAGCCUGGAAUGGUUGUCCAUCGAAAGAUAUUCUGAAAUGUCAGAUGUUUGCUAAAGGAUAGGAUCGCUCUCGAUUAUGGUUGUUGGUGAGGUAAUGGCUCACCAAGCCUAUGAUCGAUAAGGGCCGUGAGAGCGGGAGCCCUGAGAUGGACACUGAGACAAUGGUCCAGGCCUUACGAGGCGCAGCAGGCGCGAAACCUUUACCAUGCACGAAAGUGUGAUAAGGUUACCCGGAGUGCCCAGAGAAAAACUUUGGGCUGUUAUAGGUGUGUAGAUAACCCUAUGAGAAAGGAGAGGGCAAGGCUGGUGCCAGCCGCCGCGGUAAAACCAGCUCUUCAAGUGGUCGGGAUUUUUAUUGGGCUUAAAGUGUCCGUAGCCUGUUUGGUAAGUUCCUGGUUAAAUCUGGCAGCUUAACUGUCAGUUGGCUAGGAAUACUGCCUUACUAGAGGGU
rnacentral:rRNA from 1 species